UGAAUAAAGAAAGUUCCAGGGACUUAUGUGCAGCUGGGUGGUCCAGGGGUCGCUGAUGAGUGGGUCUCAGCUCUGCUCUCGGUGAUCAGCAGGACUCCUCAGCUCCCCGUGGGGACCUUCCGUCCCCUCACAGGGAAGCGGGGAGACAGAGGACGAGGCCACCCAGGAGAGUGGUUUGCCCAAGCCAGGGACAGAGAGCUCUCCUCCCCGCCCCCCACCCCCGGUGCGGCCACCUCCCCACUGCAGCCCAGCGAGGCUGAACCUGCCUUCAGAAAUGUCGGCCCCGAGGGAGGCCCCGGACAGAAAGGCCUCCUGAUCCCCCAGCAGGCAAGACACCUCAGCUCGAAAGAGAUUCUUUCCCUUUGCGCUUUCCUUCAGGCCAGCACAACACGACUGUGUUUUUCUGCUGUGCCCCCAAAGCUUCCCGGGGGACCCAUCGUCUGAGUCCGUCGGGGUCCCAGGCACCAGCUCGUUCCCCCAGGCGACCCUUGCUGCAGACUCUGUGCUGGGGGGCGUGGUUUGCUGGGGACCACCCUCCCGCAGGACCCGGCCCACGGCCAGUCCCCUGCCCUCCCACGUCCGCUACGGCCUGCUGCUAACACUCAGCCUCCUACCUCAUUUUGGGGUGACAACGUGCAUAGAUUUUCUGCCGUUUGUUCCCAGCGCUUCCCGAAACGUUUGAAUGGCACCAGCACAUGCUUCUAAGCUGUUUUUAAUUUCUCAUUGGUUUGUCCUGUGGAAAGACAAGCAAGCGACCUAAUGAAAACAGAACGAAUGUGAUAAGCGCCUAGAGGCCAAAUGGAACACACAGUCUUGGAAGUGAGGACGGACCCGCCCGAGAUGAUGAAUUCGGCGGGGAGCUCUGCAUGAGGACCGCGGUGUUCUCAAUUACAGACCUUCUGUAUUUGUUCGUUCGUCUGUUCCAGCGAUCCUUGUCAGACAAAUGCAAUAAUUACUUUUCUCCUGUUCCUGUGACCGGCACGCUGAAUUUGGGAAGAAAAACGUGAAUAUAUCACAGUAUAUGGAAGGCCCUAACAAAUUAUGCCACAGGGACGUUUGCCAGGGUGAAAAAAAAAAUGACUGCAGCCAAGAAAAAACAAAACCCGGGUCGCCAUGGUCUGAAAGUUUGGGUCCUCCCCAAAUUCAUGUUUAAAUCUUAACCCCCAGGGUGAUGGUGUUAGGAGGUGGGGCCUUUGGGGGGCGACUAGGUCAUGAGGGUGAAGCCCCCGUGAAUGGGAUUCGUGUUCUUGUAAAAGAGACCCCUGGGACCCCUGCCCUCACCCACCACGUGAGGGCACAGCACGAAGACGGCAUCUGUGAGCCAGGAGGGGGGUCUCCCCGGGCACUGAAUCUGCCAGCCCCUCGAGCCGGGGCGCCCAGCUUCCAGAACCGUGAGGAACCAGUGUGCGUUGUUUGUACGUCCACAGGCUCUGGGGUCCUGACGGCAUCCCGAGGGGACUAAGACACUCGUCAUGGCAGCAGAACUUACGGUCAGCCUCCCUCUCUUCCUCCCAAGACGAAGGCUGAUGUUUGGCACCCUCUUUGCUCGACAUUGCGAUAGUCCCCAGAAGGCCCCACGAUGUGCCUGGAGUCAUCGUUCACCGGUGCCAGAGACUCGAGCCCGUCUCAGCCUGAAUCUAUUUGGAAUAGAGGUGCUGUUGACAAGGCAAGGGUGACGUCACGGUAUGAUGACCUGGAUGGGGCUGUGUUAUGAAAACCAGGGCUCUGUUCUUCACGAAUGCUUUCCCUGAAGACACCUAAUGGGGUUGCACACCCAUGUGUCCUCAAGACCAGACAGGACACAUAACCUGUAAAACAGCGGAGUGUAGGACAACUGGUGUCGUGGGGGGCGGGGGGGUCAACCUUGAUCCACCUGAAAGUAUGACACAUUAACAGAUAAUUUCAGAACUUGUGGAGUCCAAGGAAAGCUGUUUUGAGGGCCAGACAUUCACAGCCUGUUUCCAUAGGGAGACCCUGGAGGCUCUGAGAGGGUCAGGAACUUCCUUGAGGCCACACAGUGGGUCUGGGGCAGCCCCGGGAACAGAGCCAGGCAUCCCGUGGCCCCAGAGCCCAAGACUUGCCUGCUGGCUGUCUCCUCAGCCUCGUUCUCCCGCCUCUGAACACACACACUCAGCCAGGUGCUGGGCUCCUGCCGCGUGCCUCAGAGACCACAGAGAGUGGGGGCCCUCUUCUCGGACAGGCCGUCUGUCACUGCCACUACCCUGUGACCUGGCCCCUCCUCCGUACAGAGACCGUCUCCCAAGUAUCUGGAGACCCAGUAAGCGGGAGAGCCGUGGGGCAAACGCGUGGGCGUCGGAUCCCAGAUGGAAGAAUGUCGCACCGAGAUGUGGUUGAGCUGGGAAAACGUGUCCAGGAAGCAGACACUCUGACCGGGCACAAGGCUGGCGGUUCCUCGGGCGACUGUGUGAGGCUUCCGCUGCAGACGUCUUAGCAUCUUGCCGGGAGCCUCUGCUGCUCACUUCCCUUCACUGCAGGGGAGCAGACAGAGAGGCUCAGGUGCUCAGGUGCCGAACGGACAGAGCCCCGAGGAUGCGCCAUGUCCCCUGUAGCCAGAGUGAAAAAUCAAGAGUGUCGUGCUCCGCCCAGGGCUCCGUGUCCGCCGCCGGGUGAGUCUCCGGCAGGGGAAUCUGAUGAUGCGGUUAGCCGGGCUUGGGUCACAGAGCCGUCCCAGCUGAGGGGAGGAGCCAGCCCCCACCGCACAGAACGACGGAGGCGAUGGCGCUCCAGGGAAAAUGCAGGCUCCGUUACUAGAAGGGCGUGGCUUGCGUGCGGAUCCAGCAACGCCAGCGAAUGCCCGUCAUCCUUCUCGUCCCGGAUCACCCGUGUGCCCCUCCCCGCGCCUCCUCGGGCUGGACCCCGUCUUCCGUGUCUGCAGGCCACACCCGGCCCGUUCCCCCCGCUGUCCUCCCAGUGUGUGUGUGACACCUGCUCUGUGACGCCAGCUCCUGGCACACACGCCCGCGGCUCCCAGGAGUCCCGUUGGCACUUACUGGGCAGGAGAAUGAAUGACUGAACGGAACUGGACACGACUCAAGGCAGUUUUCUGCUCAGUGAGCGGUGGUGGAGGGAGUGAACGAGGCCGCCCGUGGGGACAUCCACUGCGGAGGAGGUGGCCUGACCCCGGCCAGUGGUCAGGGCCCCCAGGGCUGUCCCCAGAUGCGGGGGUGCCCUCUCCCGGGGAGCCCCAGACUCUUGGCCGUCCUGAUGCUCCGGAAAGAAGUGAAAUAGCAGAGGAGCUGGUUUCUCUCCGGAUUCCUGGAGUCACAUCUCAUAACUCUGGUGGCUGAGGGCCUUUUUUCAGGCAGCGUCUGCCAAACGCCGGCCAGAAACUGUGUGAGGAGUCCACAAGGCAGGCUCCCACGGUGGAGUUCUAGAAACUUCUAGAAACUUCUAGAACUCCUCCUCCUCCCAAGGCUUCGUCCUGGCUUUCUGUGGGCCAUGGCAGGAAGUUGGGCAGUUGUGAGUGACCCAGCCGGACUGUCCGUGGAAACCCUCUGGUUAUUUUCGGCACCUGAUAGUAACUUCCAGACACCGAGGUGGUGGGGGGUUCCAUGUUGUCCUACAGCCUCCAACCUCUGACUGGGUUGUGCGAAGCCAGGUCGAGCAGCUGGGGGCCUGCCUGGUCAUCGUCACGCCCAGUACUGGGAGGGCCUCAGAGUGGCCCCAGUCGAGGGCGCGUGUGCCUUGGGACCACCUCGGAUCGCCUUGCUUAGACCUGACCGGGUUCCAUCUGUGGGGGGGGUUGAUGUGCCCGACCCAGGGCAGGAUCUUUACUCCCUGCUCUGCUUGGCCCCGGCACCCUCCCGUCCGCGAACUGGCCCCAGGACUCUGUCUGACCGAGCGAGCGUGCAGCCCGCCGGCCUUCUGGUUCCUGCACCGGGACGUGCGUGGGUGGGGGCGGCAGUGUCCUCAUAUGCUCUCGAACCCCCAUGCAGGGUGCCCUUCCAGGGCCGCCUCCCCCUUGAGUGCAUCAUAGAUAAAUAGGUGUCCCAGCUGGAAUGAGGCUUCCGGAACAAGAGGGGACGUGUGAGCAAGUGCACCCUGCGGCCGGCGGGUUGGGUGCACAGGGGACCCUCGCCCAGGGGCCAGGCUGGGGGCAGGGAAGGGGCCUGAGGUAUGAGAACGCAGAGAGCCUUCUCAGGGCACCCGUCCCACUGGCCUGAAAUUUUGUCAUGGACGGUCAUUUCCAUGUUCCAGAAUUUAAAAUAAAGUA